rnacentral:rRNA from 1 species
AAUUACGAAAGCAAAAAAUUAUGGCGGUAUUUUAAGCUUUUCAGAGGAAUUUGCUCUUUAAUGGAUAAAACACCUAAAUCUUACUUAAAUUUGUAAAUUCAAUUUGUAUACCACUAUAAAAACAAUUAAUAACUUCAAUUGUUAAAAUUUAUUAAAUUAAGUUAUAUUAAGUCAAGGUGCAGUAAAAAUUUAAGAAUGAAGUGAAUUACAUUUCUUUUUAGAGAGAGAAAUUUAAAUAACAUUUAGGAUUUGAAAGUAAAAUUGAAAUAGAAUGUCAAUUUGAAUUAAGCUCUAAAAUAUGUAC